GUCUUUAACAAAACAAUUGAAGAUUGUUACAGAUUUUUAUUAAAAUACAUUGUUGUCAUUUCUAUUACAGUCAAUAUUUCAGUUUAAUCACAAUCAGUCUUUGAAAUGGUUAAAGAUAUUAUUUGAUUUUAUAAUAAACAAAAUGUAAAUCAAAUUCAAAAUGACAUUAAUUUAUAAAUAUUGUAAUAUGGAAACGUUCCCUUCCCUUCCCUAAAGAAGCGCGUUUUGGCAACCAUUAUUUGACUUUUUUAUUUUGUUCACUUGUUACAUUUUUUGUUUGGUUUUUGUAUUACUUUUUGGUUAAUUUGGCUUUUUAUUUUGGGUAUUUAUGUUAACCAGUUAAAUGGAUUAUUUGACAGGUAAUUCAUCUUUAUUAAAUAUCAACUUUACCAAAUCAACAAUUACUUCUUCUCAUCAUUUUUACCUUUAUCUCGGGAGACAAUAAGCAACCUUUUCGGCUGGAAACAAUUCUCAUCACUUUGCUUUAUUCUUUACCUCAAUUUAAUGUUUUAUCUUUAAGGUGAAUUUAAGGUUUAUUUGAAAUAUUCAACCUUAUUUAACAUUUUUAUCAACCCAUCUUAUCCAAUAUAUAUUCAAAUGUAUCCAUUAUACAACAACAAAAUAUGGAAACGUCAAAAUUUCACUCUUGAAAGAAGCCAUCGUUUUUUUACCCAACCAUAGAUACAGUAAAUCUCUAACCUUAUCUCCGGAUAACUUGGUUAAUAAAGUGGAUUAUUAAUAUUUGCAAUAUCAUUAGCCUAUUAUUCAACAAAUUUAUUAGUACAGUUUCAGAUAAUCAGUCAUGAAAUAGUUACAAAUGCAACUUAAUGUAAUCAAAUCAGGACAACUCUUUAACUCUAGUUUUAAGUGUAAGCCUUUGAAUAAUGAUAUCUUUGUCGGGUCCAACUCCUGGUUAGAUUUAAAUCCAUUUUUUAUUCUCAUUUCAAGUAUUAUAAUAUUAAACCUUAAUUUUACAACAAAUCUAAUACAAUGAAACAAAUCGACAGCUCAAGAGCCAUAAAAUGAAUUUCAAUGAACUUCAAGUGCAACUCUGUGAACAUCAUUAGGUUAAAUCUAGUUUUAAAUCAUUCCACAUUUCCCUCCACAAUCACUUAAAAUCAUGUUAAUCUUUAUCCCUUCAUCAAUCAUAUAACAAUGGGUUUCAUCAGCUAAUAAGCAAUUGAUACAAAUAAUGUUAACAGAUCAAUAUAACCUUGUUUUUUGUCUUAUAAAGCAACAUGAAAAAACAUUGUUUCAAUCGGUUUUUUACACUUAAAAUAUCAUUUUUUGGCCUUUUUUUGUCUCUCAUCUUGUUCAUGAGCUAAAUCUGGAUGAAAAUGGUUUACACUAUUAACAUAAACUACAUUGAAAAUGAAAGCUAAAUGAUUAUUGAGCUUAAUGAGACCAAAAAAGUUGAUGGUCAGUAUGAAAGAUGUUAUAUAAUUUUUUAUCAUUGUUGUUUCCUUAACAUAACAGAUCAUUUUUUGUUGCUCUUUUCAUGGACAAGACUAAAGAUGAUGUUGUUGUUGUUGAUGAUGAUGAUGUAGUAGAUAAAAUGACCAAAGUAACAAACAAUGAUUAAGUUAAAGUCCGACCAAUGAUCAUUUAGCCUGCAGGUCACUUAUAUUCAUCAAAAUGAUUUUCAUUAAAGCUUUUGGCUUUUAUACAAUCUCGCUCUUGUCAUCCUAAAAAUCAUUUACUCUUUUUGUCAUCUUAAUGAGAUUUACAGCAAAAAAACAUAAUCAACCUCAUUUAUCAACUAAAUCAGAUUCCAUAACUGAUUAUAAUCCCUCUUUUUUUUACUUUUCUGGAAGGUUAAUCUCAUUUUUUCCCUUGUAUUGAACACAACAAAAAACGGAGUAGGACAAGAAGCAAAAAAUGAAUUCCCAAGCAAAUUAUUAUCUUAUUAUAUUGAUUCCCCUUUCAGGUAGAGGUAAUCAUGUAAUGUGUUGAGCUGUACACAAAUUGUGUACAAUAAAAGUAACAAACAAAUAAACAAAAAUACAAUGUAACACAAGGAAAAAAACUACCAAUGAUUCAAUUAACACAAUACCAAUAAGGUAAGCAAUACGAUGAAAAAAAGGGAAAUGGCAAGAAAACAGAGAAAAGAUAAAAGCCAAACAAAACAGGUUGUAACCCAAAUUGAAUUAAUUGAUUAACAAAAACUAAUGCAAGCAACCCAUUACAACCAAUGGAAACCUUGGACACUGAAGAUGGCGCUAAGUUUAAAGAAGCAAAUGGCAAUAAUAAAGAUGAAGAUAAAGAAGGCGAAGAAGACGAAAGAUGAAGAGGAAGAGAGGUGGUGAUAGAUGAAAAGUAGGAGUUUACAUUUGGCUCAACUUUACCAAUAAGAGUUGGGUUAUGGGAACGUUUCCAUAGAAACUAAUGCUGAAUAGAUUUAGCUAAGCUUCUCAAAGGCGUGUUCAUUCCUUGCCAUUUAAUCCCUUUCAUGAUUAAUUUUUGCGCCUUCUUGCCCAACAUUAUCAUCAUUUUAACAUGCACUUUCAUCCUUUUUUUUCUGGUCUUCAACCAUCAUCUUCAUCACCUUGACUUCACCCAAGUAACCCUCAUUUAAACUCAACGCCGACCUUAACCAUCCACUAUUUUGCGCAGUCCUCCUCUUCAUCAACCUCACUAUCUUCAUCACAAUCUUCACCACUAUCUUCAUUAACAACAUCAUCCAUAUCAUCUAGCUUUACAUGAAUUAAUCAUUCACUUUGUGUUUGUUUAUUUUUUUGGCUUCUUGUUUUUCAUUCUGUAUUUUCAUUGAACCUGGAAACAAGUCAAAAAAGCUGUUUGUUAAUUAUUAUGAUUACUUUGAUCUUUCCUCUUUUCAUUACAUUGAUCAAAGAUAAUGAAUCGAGUCAACAACUGACCAAUAUGAAAUUAAUAACAUAAAAUUAACUUACCUUUUCAAUCUUGUCAUUGUUAAUUACAUAAAUAUACACUCUUUUUAUGACCAAAGAUGCAAAUUAAUCAUUGGGGAAACAUGAAACAUUUACCAAUCAAUGGAAGCCAAUUAAUAAUGAAAUUAACCGUUUACCUCAUUCAGAGUUUACUGUUAAUCUCCAAUAAUCUCAAUAAUCACUUGAUCACCAAAAGUAGGUAAAUGGUCAAUAAAAACAAACCCAAGAUCAUUAAAUAGUCAAGAUAACUCAUAACCUUCAUCUUCCUCUUCUAAGCGCACGUAAAACUGUUGACUAGUUAACUAGUGUCCACCAAUGGCCAAUCAAAUAACAAGAGAAUCAUAAUAAUCAGUAAAAUUAUGGAAUCGAGUUAAUCAAAUUAACGGAUAAACAAUAACGAAUAUGAAAUGGCGUUAACAGUCAAUGCAAAGUGCAGUCUCAUCACAAUUAUGGUUACCAAUGGUUAAACUCGUUGAUCAACUUAACAGCUUACCUUUCAAUUUGUUUAACCAAAUUAGAGGAAAGAUUGAAAUUAAUAGCAAUUCUUGUUAAAUAUUUGGGAAU